AACAUCAUAAUUAUAUCGCGAAUGUACUACUAGUAUAUGCAGUUUUCUUAAAAUUGCAGGGAAUGACUAAAAGCCCACGUUUUUCCCACUUUUAGUAGUACUGAAGCGUAGAUAGAUUGAACGUUGCUGGGCGCCUGGUGUUGAUCAUUUCUGAAAUGAGAUAUUGGGAAUCAGCUGUAUCUACAUUU
rnacentral:ncRNA from 13 species